rnacentral:tRNA from 1 species
AAGAAUUUAGUUUAUUAAAACAUUAAUUUGUCAAAUUAAAAUAACUACCCAGUAGUAAUUCUUA